rnacentral:misc_RNA from 1 species
GCAAACUUGGUCAUUUAGAGGAAGUAAAAGUCGUAACAAGGUCUCCGUUGGUGAACCAGCGGAGGGAUCAUUACUGAGUGCAAACUCUCCAAACCACUGUUUAUCUACCUAUUUGUUCUUCCGGCCGGCAGUCCCAGGGCGGGACUGAGCCUGUAAAGCACCGGCCGGAAGGAUGCCCAUUUUGCUCUGUUAGUACACUCUGAGAACACCUAAAUGUCAAAAUUUUCAAUUGUGGAUCUCUUGGUUCUGGCAUCGAUGAAGAACGCAGC